AUAAUCAGCCCUGGCUGAGGGAAGUAAGUGCUGGGGCAGGCGGAGAAGACGAGGGGUCCGCGUCCGACUUCAGCUCUCCUCCAGCCGGUCCCACUGUGUGUCUGGUACCUUUCCCAUCUCACGUUCUCGGCUGGAGUCCUGAUAGAAAAAGGACUGUGUAUCCAGGAAGGCGUGGGAGGCAGGGAGCCUCUGAGGUCCUCACCAGCCCAAAACUGGGACAAUAUCACUUCACCCCUUCCCCUGUUGCUCACCCUACAUCACUCCCAUUGCAUCUGCCAGCCCAGCUCUGGGAUCUCACCUGGCAGGCCUCUCAAGUUCAGACCUCACCUGGUCCUGGGACUGACUCUCCAGCAAGAUGCAAAUCAGAGAGGCUGGUGCCAGCUUCCCCAGGGUUGCCUAGUUCUAACCAGAACCCAAGGGUAGCAAGACGAGCCCUGAAGAAUCCAAAACCUGUCUGAGGUUCUCAAAGCAAAUAGAGGUGAGGACACCAGGCCACGGACAAGGGCAAAGGGCGUCCUUUGGCGGUUCCCUUCGCUGGAAUGCACCAGCACCACCCGGGGCUGGAAUGGAGACCCAGAAACCAGCCCCAGUCAUCUCCACGGGGCCAAGAGGAGCUCCACGCCCCAGAGAGAGAUAAUAAUUCUCCCG
ensembl:lncRNA